rnacentral:rRNA from 1 species
AGUUUGAUCAUGGCUCAGAACGAACGUUGGCGGCGUGGAUUAGGCAUGCAAGUCGUACGAGAAAGGUUCCUUCGGGAACUGAGUAAAGUGGCGGACGGGUGAGUAAUGCAUAGACAAUCUACCCUUGAGAUGGGGAUAACACCUGGGAAACUGGUGCUAAUACCCAAUACUGUCUGGUGCCUGCGGGCGCGAGAUGAAAGGAGGCCUCUGAUUAAGCUUCCACUCAGGGAGGGGUCUAUGUCCUAUUAGCUUGUUGGUGAGGUAACGGCUCACCAAGGCAACGAUGGGUAGCCGGCCUGAGAGGGUGACCGGCCACAUUGGGACUGAGACACUGCCCAGACUCCUACGGGAGGCUGCAGUCGAGAAUCUUCCGCAAUGCGCGCAAGCGUGACGGAGCGACGCCGCGUGGGUGAUGAAGGCCUUCGGGUUGUAAAGCCCUGUCAGCUAUCAGGAAACGCGGGUGGUCAAUAGCUAUCCCGUUUGACCCAAUAGCAGAGGAAGCACCGGCUAAAUACGUGCCAGCAGCCGCGGUAAUACGUAUGGUGCAAACGUUGUUCGGAAUCACUGGGCUUAAAGCGGGCGUAGGCGGUUUGGUCAGUCUGUUGUGAAAUCCCUCGGCUCAACUGAGGAACUGCAACGGAUACUGCCAAGCUAGAGUGCAGGAGGGGAGAGUGGAAUUCCUGGUGGAGCGGUGAAAUGCGUAGAUAUCAGGAGGAACGCCGGUGGCGAAAGCGACUCUCUGGACUGUUACUGACGCUGAGGCCCGAAAGCUAGGGGAGCAAACGGGAUUAGAUACCCCGGUAGUCCUAGC